AGAUAACAUACUUCUGCCUGAAGCAAUUGCUUUGAACAGGAACAACUUCUGCUUCAGCAUUUCUGCAAUUUUAAGCAGACUGUUGUAGAGACAUUAACUAAACAACAUCCACAGCAGUUGUCAAAGAAAGACAUGGUGUCUUUCUCUACAAGAAAGACAAAUUUUAAACUUUUAUAUACUGGGAAAUUCCAAACUCAAGAUUUUUUCCCAAGAACAACAUGAUGAAGAAAAUUCAUCCCAGAUAUCUUCCAUGCUUUGAGGAGCUUGAAUGCUGCUAAUCGACUGUCAAAGCAC
rnacentral:lncRNA from 1 species